GACGAACGCUGGCGGCGUGCUUAACACAUGCAAGUCGAGCGAGGCCCUUCCUUCGGGAAGGUGCCCUAGCGGCGAACGGGUGAGUAACACGUGGGCAACCUGCCCCUAGCACUGGGAUAACCCCGGGAAACCGGGGCUAAUACCGGAUACGACCUCGAAGGGCAUCUUUCGAGGUGGAAAAAUUUAUUGGCUAGGGAUGGGCCCGCGGCCUAUCAGCUUGUUGGUGGGGUAACGGCCCACCAAGGCGUCGACGGGUAGCCGGCCUGAGAGGGCGACCGGCCACACUGGGACUGAGACACGGCCCAGACUCCUACGGGAGGCAGCAGUGGGGAAUAUUGCACAAUGGGCGAAAGCCUGAUGCAGCGACGCCGCGUGAGGGAUGACUGCCUUCGGGUUGUAAACCCUUUCAGCAGGGACGAAGCGAAGUGACGGUACUGCAGAAGAAGCACCGGCCAACUACGUGCCAGCAGCAGCCGCAGUAA
rnacentral:rRNA from 1 species